rnacentral:rRNA from 1 species
GCUAUAAAGUUCUAAGUAUAUAUUUAUUAUGAGAAUAUAUAUAUUGCGUCUCGACAAAUUGCGUGCCAGCAGUCGCGGCAAUACGUAAGAGACUUAGUGUUAUUCAUCUUAAAUAGGUUUAAAGGGUACCUAGACGGCUAGAGUUUAAAAUGUAAGGAGAUAGAACUAAAAGUGGAGAGUCGAUAUUUUUUGAUACUAGUUGGACUGGUAAAGGCGCAGGCGAUCUCUUAUGUAAACUGACGUUGAGGGACGAAGGCGCGGAGAACGAAUAGGAUUUGGUACCCUAGUAGUCGUAGCAGAGAAUGAUGAAUGCCAUAGAUCAGACUGGAUUAUAAAUGAAAAUGUAAGCAUUCCACCUCAAGAGUAAUGUGGCAACGCAGGAACUGAAAUCACUAGACCGUUUCUAACAUCAGCAGUGAAGUAUGUUGUUUAAUUCGAUAACCCACGAACAAUCUUACCACAAACAAGUGUUGCACGGCUGUCUCCAGAUAAUGCUGUGAAGUUUUGGUUUCGAUCAGUAAAUUAUCAGGAACCCUUGC